AACGAACGCUGGCGGCAGGCCUAACACAUGCAAGUCGAACGCUCGUAGCAAUACGAGAGUGGCAGACGGGUGAGUAACACGUGGGAACCUUCCCUUCGGUCGGGAAUAGCUCAGGGGAAACUUGGGGGUAAUACCGGAUACGCCCUUCGGGGGAAAGAUUUAUCGCCGUUGGAUGGGCCCGCGUCGGAUUAGCUAGUUGGUGGGGUAACGGCUCACCAAGGCGACGAUCCGUAGCUGGUCUGAGAGGAUGAUCAGCCACACUGGGACUGAGACACGGCCCAGACUCCUACGGGAGGCAG
rnacentral:rRNA from 1 species